AACGAACGCUGGCGGCAGGCUUAACACAUGCAAGUCGAACGCCUCCUUCGGGGUGAGUGGCAGACGGGUGAGUAACGCGUGGGAACGUGCCCUUCAGUUCGGGAUAACCCAGGGAAACUUGGGCUAAUACCGGAUACGUGCGAGAGCAGAAAGAUUUAUCGCUGAAGGAUCGGCCCGCGUCUAGUUAGCUAGUUGGUGGGGUAGUGGCCCACCAAGGCGACGAUCAGUAGCUGGUCUGAGAGGAUGAUCAGCCACAUUGGGACUGAGACACGGCCAAAACUCCUGCGGGAGGCAGCAGUGGGGAAUAUUGGACACUGGGGGCAAGCCGGAUCCAGCCAUGCCGCGUGAGUGAUGAAGGCCUUAGGGUUGUAAAGCUCUUUCGUCCGGGACGAGAAUGACGGUACCGGAAGAAGAAGCCCCGGCUAACUUCGUGCCAGCAGCCGCCGUAA
rnacentral:rRNA from 1 species